GGAAGGAUCAUUAACACGUAUCCACGUAUCAACCCCUUUGUGCUUUUUACGUUUUGACGUCCCUGCCUUGAGUGUGAAUUUCUGAGGUUGCGCGAGAAUCGAAUGGUGUCUCUUCGGAGGCAUUCUCGUGUUGCUGUUGUGAGCCUGCCCUUUCGAGGGCGGGUAAACACAGGGGUUCGCAUUCUAUCGUGCAGGUUCAAUGUUAGCCAUUCUAGCAUGCCCUUUUUUAUAACUAAACCCUUUGUAAACAUCUUGCUAACUUAAUUUGACUUGGGUUCUUGCAUCGACGCUUGCGUUGAAGUAGUGCUUAUUUCAAUAUUACGAAAUGCUUGACAACUCUUAGCAACGGAUAUCUUGGUUCUCGUAACGAUGAAGAACGCAGCGAAAUGCGAUACGUAAUGCGAAUUGCAGAAUUCAGUGAAUCAUCAAAUCUUUGAACGCAAAUUGCGCUCUCGGGAUAUACCUGGGAGCACGCUUCUUUGAGUAUCGGUUCUAACACAAAUCGACAGCGUGUUUGGUUUUCGAACAAAAUGCGUGUAGUCGGAGAAUGAGGGUCUCAGCGGUAAAACACCUGCUGUGUCCCUUUAAAUUCAAUGAGUGUUUUUCAGCUCUUAGUACUUCUUUGGUUUCCCCUUCACGGGGGGAAUCAAGCCUUUUCAGUCGAAAGGGUUCGGAAACUAGGGACGUGGAUAAUUUCACCCUUGUGUGAAUACAUUCUAACGUCACUGGGUUCUGAAUCUUGAGUAAGCUUUGAGGGUCGGAUGAACUAAAUCCCUUCAUUGGGGGCUGGGAAACACGGACGGAAAUGUAAACUUGCCUUAACGGGCCAGUUUUCUUUGAAAUCAGAUCUCAGAUGAAGUGAGAAAACCCGCCGGAUUUAAGCAUAUUAUUAAGCGGAGGAAAAGAAACUAACAAGGAUUCCCCUAGUAACGGCGAGUGAAGCGGGAAAAGCUCAACUUGAAAAUCGGUGUACCAAACGGUGCUCCGAGUUGUAGUCUAGAGACGCAUGAUCAGUGUGCGCCGCGGUUAUAAAUCUUUUGAAACAAGGUAUCAUAGAGGGUGAGAAUCCCGUUUAUGAACCGCAGUGUGCCACGUACGAUCUGUGUUCGAAGAGUCGAGUUCUUUGGGAUUGGAGCUCAAAAUGGGUGGUAAAUUUCAUCUAAAGCUAAAUAUCGACGAGAGACCGAUAGCGAACAAGUACCGUGAGGGAAAGAUGAAAAGAACUUUGAAAGAGAGUUAAAAAGUACUUGAAAUUGUUAAGAGUGAAGCACUGGAAACCAGUCGUGCCCGAUGUCUAUAUUUACUAUCCGCCGGCUUGCCGGGGUGCGCACGUGAGAGCAAUCCGCGGGUGUGCCUCCCAGGGUCGGUGGGUGGGUCCUGUAGCUUUGGGUGGGUCAGAAUCAAUUCGCCUCGACGGAGAAAAUCCGAGGGAAGGUAGGAAGCUUGCUUCUGUUAUAGACCUUGGACGAUACGUUGGGGUGGAUUGAGGAUCGAUAAUACGCGCUUUCUUGGCUCGGUUCCCGUCUCCUGCCGUGUGGGUCGUUGCGGACAGCAAAGCUGUGCGUGCGGCGUAAUGCGGUACUGAGGCGGAUCUACCAGACGCGGCAUUCGCGAUUCUGACGAAAUGGUUUUCAAUGACCCGUCUUGAAACACGGACCAAGGAGUCUAACAUAUAUGCGAGUAUUUGGGUGGAAAACCCUUGUGCGCAAUGAAAGUAAAGGUAGCUUCGUGCUGCUGAGGUAGGAACCCGGAGUUUCGGCUUUGGGGGCACUAUCGACCGAUCAGUCACUUGUGAAAGAUUUGAGUAAGAGCAUAUCUGUUGGGACCCGAAAGAUGGUGAUCUAUGCCUGAACAGGGCGAAGCCAGGGGAAACCCUGGUGGAGGCUCGUAGCGAUACUGACGUGCAAAUCGUUCGUCUGAUUUGGGUAUAGGGGCGAAAGACUAAUCGAACCAUCUAGUAGCUGGUUCCCUC
rnacentral:misc_RNA from 1 species